rnacentral:miRNA from 1 species
CUUCCGCCCAUAUUUAUCCUUCG